rnacentral:rRNA from 1 species
AGAGCGGAACGCGUGGACGGCAGGCCUAACACAUGCAAGUCGAGCGCCGUAGCAAUACGGAGCGGCAGACGGGAGAGUAACACGUGGGAACGUGCCCUUUGGUUCGGAACAACACAGGGAAACUUGUGCUAAUACCGGAUAAGCCCUUACGGGGAAAGAUUUAUCGCCAAAGGAUCGGCCCGCGUCUGAUUAGCUAGUUGGUGAGGUAAUGGCUCACCAAGGCGACGAUCAGUAGCUGGUCUGAGAGGAUGAUCAGCCACAUUGGGACUGAGACACGGCCCAAACUCCUACGGGAGGCAGCAGUGGGAAUAUUGGACAAUGGGCGCAAGCCUGAUCCAGCCAUGCCGCGUGAGUGAUGAAGGCCCUAGGUUGUAAAGCUCUUUUGUGCGGGAAGAUAAUGACGGUACCGCAAGAAUAAGCCCGGCUAACUUCGUGCCAGCAGCCGC